UUGGGGAAGGACUAUAUAUUGGCUGCAUGAGUGAGAGAGGGAACAACGUGAUUUUGAAGGAGACGGUACAUAGAGCUGGAGAGAACGCCAAGGAAAUAAUAUGAGGCUGAGGCAGCUGGGGAGAAAGAAGCCGAAAUGCAAUGAUCUGGGGACUUCAGAAAGAGACUCAAGUCUUCCUCCAGCAGGUUGUACUGAUGAGGAAGCCAAGGCAAAGAGAGGUGAUGGAGCUUGCCCAAGGUCACGCAACAAGUCAUUGGCAGCUCCAAGAACAGAACCCAGG